AUUGAACGCUGGCGGCAGGCCUAACACAUGCAAGUCGAGCGGAUCGGCGGACGGGUGAGUAAUGCCUAGGAAUCUGCCUGGUCGUGGUCGAUAACGUACGGAAACGGGCGCUAAUACCGCAUACUAUCAGAUGAGUCUAGUUAGGACUUGCUAGUUGGUGGGGGAAAGGCCUACCAAGGCGACGAUCCGUAACUGGUCUGAGAGGAUGAUCAGUCACCCGAGAAAUGAGACGGGGUCCAGACGCCUACGUGAGGCAGCAGUGGGCAAUAUGGGACAAUGGUGGAAAGCCUGAUCCAGCCAUGCGGCGUGUGUGAAAAAGGUCUUGGGUUAAUAAAGCACUUUGAGUUGGUAGGCGUUACCAGCAGAAUAAGCACCGGCUAACUUCGUGCCAGCCGCCGCGGUAAUAC
rnacentral:rRNA from 1 species